rfam:Brachypodium distachyon strain Bd21 chromosome 4, whole genome shotgun sequence.
CAUGUACUCUCUCCGUCUCAUAUUAAGUGACUUUUUAUUACAUGUAUCUAGACGCUUUUUAGGUAUAGAGACAUUCAUAUUUGAACAAAUUUGAGACACUUAAUAUGGGACGGAGAGAGUAUUUG